rnacentral:rRNA from 1 species
UACGAAGGGGGCGAGCGUUGUUCGGAUUUACUGGGCGUAAAGGGCGCGUAGGCGGCCUUGUCAGUCAGGCGUGAAAGCCCCGGGCUCAACCUGGGAACGGCGCUUGGGACGGCGAGGCUGGAGUUCGGGAGAGGAGAGUGGAAUUCCCAGUGUAGAGGUGAAAUUCGUAGAUAUCGGGAGGAACACCUGUGGCGAAAGCGGCUCACUGGACCAUAACUGACGCUGAUGUACGAAAGCUGGGGGAGCAAACAGG